GUCAACAUGCAUUUAUGUCUUCGAUAUCUGUCAACAGCUUUAACGUUGGUCAACAUUUAGGCUUGUUAACAUCUUUCAAUAUCAUCAGCUUUUAAACAUUUGUCAAUACGUAUUACUAAUUUCAUCGUUCAGCUUCGACUGAAAUAGCCAGCGUAUAAGCUCGUUUAUUCGGACAGCAAAUAGGAAGUUCGAGAUUCGCCCGGAAGCACGCUACAUGCACCUCGACACAGCUACAGAAACACCUCAAUGAUUUGCAGCAUCGUCUAUAGAUAAGAAUCAAUGAUUUUUCGACAUUGGUUCUAGAUAUAAGAUGUAUCAAAAAGCAAUUUCUUAUCUCAAAACUGAAAAAAACAAUCGAUUACAUAUUUUUUAUAUUACGAA